rnacentral:rRNA from 1 species
CCUACGGGAGGCAGCAGUGGGGAAUCUUGCGCAAUGGGCGAAAGCCUGACGCAGCAACGCCGCGUGCGGGAAGAAGGCUUUCGGGCUGUAAACCGCUUUCAGCAGGAACGAAAAUGACGGUACCUGCAGAAGAAGGAGCGGCCAACUAUGUGCCAGCAGCCGCGGUGAUACAUAGGCUUCAAGCGUUGUCCGGAUUUAUUGGGCGUAAAGAGUUCGUAGGCGGUCGAGUAAGUCGGGUGUGAAAAUUCUGGGCUCAACCCAGAGACGCCACCCGAUACUGCUUGACUUGAGUUCGAUAGGGGAGUGGGGAAUUCCUAGUGUAGCGGUGAAAUGCGCAGAUAUUAGGAGGAACACCGGUGGCGAAGGCGCCACUCUGGAUCGAUACUGACGCUGAGGAACGAAAGCAUGGGUAGCAAACAGGAUUAGAUACCCUGGUAGUCCAUGCGUAACGGUAGGCGACUAGUGUGGUUCGUAUUAACGUAACUACGCGCCGUCGCUACG